UACGGAGGGUGCAAGCGUUAUCCGGAAUCAUUGGGUUUAAAGGGUCCGCAGGCGGAUUUAUAAGUCAGUGGUGAAAUCCUAUCGCUUAACGAUAGAACUGCCAUUGAUACUGUAAGUCUUGAAUUCGGUCGGAGUGGGCGGAAUGUGUAGUGUAGCGGUGAAAUGCAUAGAUAUUACACAGAACACCGAUAGCGAAGGCAAUCCCCCUGGGCCUGCACUGACGCUCAUGCACGAAAGCGUGGGGAGCAAACAGG
rnacentral:rRNA from 1 species